rfam:Aedes albopictus isolate Foshan contig24703, whole genome shotgun sequence.
CGUUCUGUGGAUUGGUUGGUUAAAGCAACAGACUUGCGAUACGGAGUCGUGGGAUCGAAUCCCACCAAAACAA